UACGUAGGGUGCGAGCGUUAAUCGGAAUUACUGGGCGUAAAGCGUGCGCAGGCGGUUCGCCAAGUCAGGUGUGAAAUCCCCGGGCUUAACCUGGGAAUUGCGCUUGAAACUAGCGGGCUUGAGUGUGGCAGAGGGGGGUGGAAUUCCACGUGUAGCAGUGAAAUGCGUAGAGAUGCGGAGGAACACCGAUGGCGAAGGCAGCCCCCUGGGUCAACACUGACGCUCAUGCACGAAAGCGUGGGGAGCAAACAGG
rnacentral:rRNA from 1 species